rnacentral:lncRNA from 1 species
UUUGACUCCAGCUGAGGAGUUAAGUCCCAAGCCGAGGCUGGAGGUAAUUAGCAAGCAGUGGGAACAGUGUUCAGUGGACAUGGAACGGCAUAUGAUAAGGAACGGCAGGUGUAGAGCAGAAUGCGGGUGACCAAUCAAGUUCCCAUGAUAUGCCAUUCAUCCGGUGGCACUGAUGAUUGGACAUUCUUGUCAGCAAGCAAGACACAAGGGUACCAACUACUGCUGCUCAAGGGUGGCAGGGACCGCCAGGGCCUGGAGAAGCGAGAAGACCUGUUGAGGAUCAGGGUCGGGAAAAAUUACAAAACUACAUUCUAUUCCUCAUGAAGCCGCCCCGAGACCGUUUUUAAAAUUCGAAUCAUGUCCCUUCUCUACUCAAAAUCCCCCAGUGCAAUCACCCCGCCUGCCAGCAGCGCCAGAGUC